GACAGAGGUGCCGAGCGUUAGGCGGAAUCACUGGGCUUAAAGCGUGUGUAGGCGGCGGCGUAAGUACCUUGUGAAAUCCCACGGCUCAACCGUGGAACUGCUGGGUAUACUGGUUGUCUUGAGCCAGCUAGGGGCGAGCGGAACAGACGGUGGAGCGGUGAAAUGCGUAGAUAUCGUCUGGAACGCCGAAGGUGAAAACAGCUCGCUGGGGCUGCGCUGACGCUGAGACACGAAAGCCAGGGGAGCGAACGGG
rnacentral:rRNA from 1 species